AAAUGAUGAUUUUUCCCUAUCAAUAGUGCUGGUUUCUCCAUUUCAAAUCAUCGUCUUGAAUUUAUAAAUGGAUUCUAACUGAUCAAAGAUCGAAUUACCGACAAAACUCCGAUGAGUUUCUUCAUUGCUGGUAAGACAACGAAUGGAGAAUCGCCGAAGUUUCUUCCGGCCAAACUUCGAUGAGUUUCUUCGCUGAUGGUUUUUGACCAUGGUUGAACAUCUCUCACUUAAAUGGGCUUGAAUAUGAAACCAAAAAGGAGAAAAUGGGUAAAAUGGGCAUAAGGAAAGAGAAUAAGUUGCAUCCAAUUUGAGCAUGCUAGAAGAUUUUGAGAUUUGAGAACAGUAAAAAAGAGAAGAAAAGAAAAAAUGGGGUGGAAGGGAGAUAGCAGGUCAAUCUGCAAAAUACCAAACAUUCCGGCCAAAUUUGAAUAUGGUACUCCAAAUCCUUUUUUCUCGAAUGAUGAUACGCUAUUCAAUGUGUAUUUAGUUUUUAUUUUAUUAUGAAAUCUUCUAAAUUUUUCAAAGUGAUUUUUUGUUUUCUGCUCACAAUAUUUUUUUUUUGGUAAAAUUUUCAGUUGGUUAUCUUAUUAUGAGCCAUAAUUUCCUGGCCAUAAAUGGAAAAGAAAAAAGAAGGAAGAAUAAGAUCUGGAAGAGAAGAAACGAGGAAGAAGAAAAGAUGUGGUUGAAUACUUGAAUUAAAAGAGAGAGAGGUGGGACCCAUAAGGUGGUUGGAUAGUUGGGUUAAAGAAAUGGGCAUGGGUCUUUUAAAAUUUGGUUGAUAUUUUGUCUAGUUGGCAGAUUAAUUGAGGGGUCCAUUUCCACGUUGGAGAUCUGUUAGGGUUAGGGGCGAUUUUAUCUACUUUGCUAACGGUAGGGACAUAUUUAGACGGAAAGUAGAACGAGGUAUAAACGUGAACAAUUUAUCAAAGUAGAGGUACAAAUUUGACCUUUUUCUCUAGAUAAAAUGCAUAACUUAUUUUUCUUUUAAUGUUUAGUCAUGUAAAUAAUAG
rnacentral:lncRNA from 1 species